rnacentral:rRNA from 2 species
AGGGCGCACGGUGGAUGCCUUGGCACUAGAAGCCGAAGAAGGACGUUACUAACGACGAUAUGCUUUGGGUAGCUGUAAGUAAGCGUUGAUCCAGAGAUUUCCGAAUGGGGGAACCCAACAUGAGUUAUGUCAUGUUAUCGACAUGUGAAUUCAUAGCAUGUCAGAAGGCAGACCCGGAGAACUGAAACAUCUUAGUACCCGGAGGAAGAGAAAGAAAAAUCGAUUCCCUGAGUAGCGGCGAGCGAAACGGGAAGAGCCCAAACCAACAAGCUUGCUUGUUGGGGUUGUAGGACACUCUAUACGGAGUUACAAAAGAACAUGUUAGACGAAUCAUCUGGAAAGAUGAAUCAAAGAAGGUAAUAAUCCUGUAGUCGAAAACAUAUUCUCUCUUGAGUGGAUCCUGAGUACGACGGAGCACGUGAAAUUCCGUCGGAAUCUAGGAGGACCAUCUCCUAAGGCUAAAUACUCUCUAGUGACCGAUAGUGAACCAGUACCGUGAGGGAAAGGUGAAAAGUACCCCGGAAGGGGAGUGAAAGAGAACUUGAAACCGUGUGCUUACAAGUAGUCAGAGCCCGUUUAUGGGUGAUGGCGUGCCUUUUGUAGAAUGAACCGGCGAGUUACGAUCUGAUGCAAGGUUAAGCAGUGAAUGUGGAGCCGUAGCGAAAGCGAGUCUGAAUAGGGCGUUGAGUAUUUGGUCGUAGACCCGAAACCAGGUGAUCUACCCUUGGUCAGGUUGAAGUUCAGGUAACACUGAAUGGAGGACCGAACCGACUUACGUUGAAAAGUGAGCGGAUGAACUGAGGGUAGCGGAGAAAUUCCAAUCGAACUUGGAGAUAGCUGGUUCUCUCCGAAAUAGCUUUAGGGCUAGCCUCAAGUGAUGAUUAUUGGAGGUAGAGCACUGUUUGGACGAGGGGCCCCUCUCGGGUUACCGAAUUCAGACAAACUCCGAAUGCCAAUCAAUUUAACUUGGGAGUCAGAACAUGGGUGAUAAGGUCCGUGUUCGAAAGGGAAACAGCCCAGACCACCAGCUAAGGUCCCAAAAUAUAUGUUAAGUGGAAAAGGAUGUGGCGUUGCCCAGACAACUAGGAUGUUGGCUUAGAAGCAGCCAUCAUUUAAAGAGUGCGUAAUAGCUCACUAGUCGAGUGACACUGCGCCGAAAAUGUACCGGGGCUAAACAUAUUACCGAAGCUGUGGAUUGUCCUUCGGACAAUGGUAGGAGAGCGUUCUAAGGGCGUUGAAGCAUGAUCGCAAGGACAUGUGGAGCGCUUAGAAGUGAGAAUGCCGGUGUGAGUAGCGAAAGACGGGUGAGAAUCCCGUCCACCGAUUGACUAAGGUUUCCAGAGGAAGGCUCGUCCGCUCUGGGUUAGUCGGGUCCUAAGCUGAGGCCGACAGGCGUAGGCGAUGGAUAACAGGUUGAUAUUCCUGUACCACCUAGUAUCGUUUUAAUCGAUGGGGGGACGCAGUAGGAUAGGCGAAGCGUGCUGUUGGAGUGCACGUCCAAGCAGUAAGGCUGAGUGUUAGGCAAAUCCGGCACUCGUUAGGCUGAGCUGUGAUGGGGAGAGGAAAUUGUUUCCUCGAGUCGUUGAUUUCACACUGCCGAGAAAAGCCUCUAGAUAGAUAACAGGUGCCCGUACCGCAAACCGACACAGGUAGUCAAGAUGAGAAUUCUAAGGUGAGCGAGCGAACUCUCGUUAAGGAACUCGGCAAAAUGACCCCGUAACUUCGGGAGAAGGGGUGCUCUUUAGGGUUCACGCCCAGAAGAGCCGCAGUGAAUAGGCCCAAGCGACUGUUUAUCAAAAACACAGGUCUCUGCUAAACCGUAAGGUGAUGUAUAGGGGCUGACGCCUGCCCGGUGCUGGAAGGUUAAGAGGAGUGGUUAGCUUCUGCGAAGCCACGAAUCGAAGCCCCAGUAAACGGCGGCCGUAACUAUAACGGUCCUAAGGUAGCGAAAUUCCUUGUCGGGUAAGUUCCGACCCGCACGAAAGGCGUAACGAUUUGGGCACUGUCUCAACGAGAGACUCGGUGAAAUCAUAGUACCUGUGAAGAUGCAGGUUACCCGCGACAGGACGGAAAGACCCCGUGGAGCUUUACUGUAGCCUGAUAUUGAAAUUCGGCACAGCUUGUACAGGAUAGGUAGGAGCCAUUGAAACGUGAGCGCUAGCUUACGUGGAGGCGUUGGUGGGAUACUACCCUAGCUGUGUUGGCUUUCUAACCCGCACCACUUAUCGUGGUGGGAGACAGUGUCAGGCGGGCAGUUUGACUGGGGCGGUCGCCUCCUAAAAGGUAACGGAGGCGCUCAAAGGUUCCCUCAGAAUGGUUGGAAAUCAUUCACAGAGUGUAAAGGCAUAAGGGAGCUUGACUGCGAGACCUACAAGUCGAGCAGGGUCGAAAGACGGACUUAGUGAUCCGGUGGUUCCGCAUGGAAGGGCCAUCGCUCAACGGAUAAAAGCUACCCCGGGGAUAACAGGCUUAUCUCCCCCAAGAGUUCACAUCGACGGGGAGGUUUGGCACCUCGAUGUCGGCUCAUCGCAUCCUGGGGCUGUAGUCGGUCCCAAGGGUUGGGCUGUUCGCCCAUUAAAGCGGUACGCGAGCUGGGUUCAGAACGUCGUGAGACAGUUCGGUCCCUAUCCGUCGUGGGCGUAGGAAAUUUGAGAGGAGCUGUCCUUAGUACGAGAGGACCGGGAUGGACAUACCUCUGGUGUACCAGUUGUCGUGCCAACGGCAUAGCUGGGUAGCUAUGUAUGGACGGGAUAAGUGCUGAAAGCAUCUAAGCAUGAAGCCCCCCUCAAGAUGAGAUUUCCCAACUUCGGUUAUAAGAUCCCUCGAAGAUGACGAGGUUAAUAGGUUCGAGGUGGAAGCGUGGUGACACGUGGAGCUGACGAAUACUAAUCGAUCGAAGACUUAAUC